AUGACUGGAUUCGGAAGCUUCAAAGCUUCAUUUUAUUUGCAAAACUCCGAUGAAAAGAGGCGAACUGAUGAAGAUGUUCGACGGCGAAACAAGGAUUUUAACCGAAAACUCAAAUCGAAAGAAACAGAGAGGAGAAGAGGGAGGCUCAGAGUAGAACCGUUACCGGUGGAAAGGAUCGUUGAAGGAGAAGAUGACGUCGCGACUGAGAUGACGGCGGCGAACCUGAGGGGUUUGAGUUUGGUCAUGGCGCCGCGUGAGAAAUAG